GUAGGUGGCAAGCGUUGUCCGGAAUUAUUGGGCGUAAAGCGCGCGCAGGCGGGUUCUUUAAGUCUGAUGUGAAAGCCCACGGGCUCAACCGUGGAGGGUCAUUGGAAACUGGAGAACUUGAGUACAGAAGAGGAAAGCGGAAUUCCACGUGUAGCGGUGAAAUGCGUAGAGAUGUGGAGGAACACCAGUGGCGAAGGCGGCUUUCUGGUCUGUAACUGACGCUGAGGCGCGAAAGCGUGGGGAGCAAACAGGAUUAGAUACCCUGGUAGUCCACGCCGUAAACGAUGAGUGCUAAGUGUUAGGGGGUUUCCGCCCCUUAGUGCUGCAGCUAACGCAUUAAGCACUCCGCCUGGGGAGUACGACCGCAAGGUUG
rnacentral:rRNA from 1 species